UGAUACUGAAAUCGAAUUAGACUACCAAAAAAUUCCUCGUGGGGUAAGUUCAAACUUUAUUAAUUUGACUGAAACUAAUACACAAAGAACUUUUCUUUAAAUAUUUUAAUAUCAA
ensembl:ncRNA T05C1.7 ncRNA